CCAUAUUGUCUAGUGGUUAGGAUACCUGGCUCUCACCCAGGAGGCCCGGGUUCAAUUCCCAGUAUGG
rnacentral:tRNA from 1 species